GCCCAAAUACAUUUAUCAAAAAAAAAAAGAAACCUAAAAAACCCUAGCCUUGUUAGCUGUUCGGCCAACUGCUCUUGGUCCCAUCACCACUUGCCUGGCCACCGCCUCUGCUGCCACUGACUAGUCACGUCACCUCCACUUGCUCCUGCAAAAUUAAAGGAAGAGAAGACAGCAAGUAAUAAACAAAGGCAUCGUAAAUGGCUAUAAAAAGCCAAAUCAAUAACCAUUGUUGUUUCUUCGACUUUUUUUAUCAAUACUAACAGAUUUAUAUACCAAGCAGAGAUUUUAGCUAUAUCAAAAAAAACA
rnacentral:lncRNA from 1 species